CCUAGGUUUUCGUGUCCGUCUUGUAUGAAAUUUUUUUAUAAUUCGUAUUUUUAUUGUUGUUAGAUGAUAAAACAUGAUUAAUACUUUGUGCGUGACUUGUUUUUUUUUAAUUUUUUUCAUAAUUUUUUUCAAAUAAGACGGACGGUCAAACGUUGGGCACGGAAACC
rnacentral:pre_miRNA from 1 species